rnacentral:piRNA from 1 species
UAGUAAUGUAACAAUUAUUAAUCUUGA